rnacentral:lncRNA from 1 species
GCUGUUUCUAUAAGGGCAGCUUGCUAUUGCUAUAUGCCUUAGCCUAAAAAUUAUUUUUUCUAUUUAAAAUAUUUUCAGUGCUGUUUCUAAAGGAAAGCUUGCUAUUGCUAUAAGCUUUAGCCUAAAAAUUUUUUUUCUAUUAAAAAAAGUGCUGUUUCUAUAAAGGGCAGCUUACUAUUGCUAUAUACCUUAGCCUAAUUUUUUUCUUUCCAAAUAUUUUCGUUGCUGUUUCUAUAAAGGUCCGCUAUUGCUAUCACUAUGUUUUAGCUGUGAAAGUUAAUUUACGGUUAAGAUGUCAUUUCUAUAAGGAUAAAAUUACACACUACACUGCAAUGUUGUUCAUUGCUGUUUCUAUAAAGAGCAGCGUUUGCUUUUGCUAUAUGCUUUAGCAAAAUUCGAGCAGUUUAAUGCUAAGAUGUCAUUUCUAUAAGGGUGACAUACGGAAACUGUACUGCAAUAUUGAUUGGUUGAUUAACACUUGUGUCACCUCGUAUUGUAACGCGCUUUUGAUUGGUUAGACAUUAUCGGUUAAAUACAAAGAGCAGCUUGCAGCCUUACUUAAAGUCUUUUUUCCCAUCCAAAUAUUUCAGUGCUGUUUCUAUAAAGGGCAGCGUGCUGUUGCUAUGCCUUAGCCUAAAAUUCCUUUUUUCUAUCCAAAUAUUUUCAGUGCUGUUUCUAUAAAGGGCAGCUUGCUGUUGCUAUAUGCCUUAGCCCAAAGUCAUUUUUUCUAUCCAAAUAUUUUCAAUGCUGUUUCUAUAAGGGCAGCGUGCUAUUGCUAUAUGCCUUGGCCUGAAAGUCCUUUUUUCUAUCCAAAUAGUUUUAGUACAGUUUGCAUAAAGACAGCUAUUGUUAUAUGCCUUAGCCUAAAAGUCUUUUCUUUUUGACUUUUUUUCAUCCAAACAUUUUUAGUGCUGUUUCUAUAAGGGCAGCAUGCUAUUGCUAUAUGCCUUAGCCUGAAAGUCUUUUUUCCAUCCAAAUAUUUUCAAUGCUGUUUCUGUAAGGGCAGCGUGCUAUUGCUAUAUGCCUUAGGCUAAAAGUCUUUUUUCCAUCCAAAUAUUUUCAAUGCAGUUUCUAUAAGGGCAGCGUGCUAUUGCUAUAUGCCUUAAGCUCAGGUCACACUACACAACGAUAACGAUACGAUAACUUGUAUACGCGCGCUGAUUGGUCAAAAAUUUAUCGUUAUCGUUCGACUGAAAAAAAAAUCGCUCAGCUGAGCGAUUUUAAAAUCGUUAUCGUUAUCGUCAAACGAUAAUUUUAUCAUUUUCGUUGUAGUGUUGACACUAACACAAUUUUUUUGCCAAUUAUCACGUGUUUACAAUGUAUAGUAUCGUUAUCGUUGUGUAGUGUGACCGGGCCUUUAGCCUAAAAGUUUUUUUUCCAUCCAAAUAUUUCCAAUGCUGUUUCUAUAAGGGCAGCGUGCUAUUGCUAUAUGCCUUAGCCUAAAAGUCUUUUCUUUUUGACUUUUUUCAUCCAAGCAUUUUCAGUGCUGUUUCUAGAAAGGACAGCUUGCUAUUGCUAUAUGCCUUAGCAUAAAAGUUUUUUUUUUCUGUCCAAAUAUUUUCAGUGCUGUUUCUAGAAAGGACAGCUUGCUAUUGCUAUAUGCCCUAGCCUAAUAGUCCUUUUUUCCAUCCAACUAUUUUCAGGCUAUAAAGGGCGGCUACUGCUAUCACUAGUUAUAUGUUUCCGCUAAAAAUUAAACUGCAUGCAUGUUUAUUGUUAAUAUGUCAGUUACAUUUGUGUUAGAAUGGUGCCUUGGAAAUGGGGUUUCACACUAGGAUUUGCACAUUUUAGUAUUUCAAGCGCAUUAGGUCUCUUAGGUUCUAGUUUAAGGCCAAUAUGAGCGAGUGAGAUAAACUCGAGUAGCUAGGUAAGGCAUCAAGCGUGAAAUCCACGUACCAGGCCCCUCAGAAUCGAACCCCAAACCUUUUUUCAACACUAAAUAUGAAAUUACCCCACCUUACCACAUCGUUGAAGAAUAAUGGUGGAUAUCUUGGGCAAAUGUGCACUCUCAUGGUGGAUAUCCUGGGCAAACGUGCAAUAUCAUGAGGGAUAUCUUGGGCAAAUGUGCAUUAUUAAAGAUAUAUUGGUGCUAUUAAUAACCUCGUACGUGGAAUUGUAGGGUAAUCAUACAGCGGUGUGUGAUUGCUCGAUACUGAAGAAAGAAGACGUCGUAAGGUUUGUGGAUUUUGAUAAAUACGGGGGUGGGGCCCUGCGGUUAACAUAAAAGAAUGGUGACUAGGCGGCUACAAUAUAUGGUGAAUGUUAACAAUAUGGCGGAUUAUUACAAUAUGGCGACAGCAAUUAAGCGCAGCAAAAAUAUUGGUUCAAAAGCGAAAUUUGAGCAAAAAAUCCAGUCGUUAAAUUGAAAAUCCGGUCAUUCGCAAAAAUCAGGCAAAAAUACAGUAGCAACAAUUGCGGUAUGCAGAUCUACUUAAAACUACAUGCUAAGCACAUAUCAAAAUCAGGCCUGACUUAGGAGUUUUAUAUGGGGGCCCCAGAUAGUGUAAUAAUGCAUAUACUGCGAAACAUGAUAUUGGAUAAACGAUAUUAUAUAUACACUAUAUUUUUGAUAACGAAACAUGCUUAUUUAUAAAAUCAAGUCAAAUUGAUAAAAAUCUAAUAUUUUGGACAUGACUUUAGGAAUUUUAUUUUUUAAAUUUAUUUUAUUAUUUUCUAUAAAUGGGGGCCCCAAAUAGUUCGAGGAUCGGAAUAGUUGAUAACAUAUAAGAUAGUUAUUUUGUGUAUAGUAGGUAGGCUAAUAACGUUUCUGUAAUAUAUAAUACAUUCAUGUAUUAUAUAUAAUGGUAUAAAACAUUGUAAAAUAUCUUAUAAUUAAUAUAUUCUUGUGAAAAUAUGUUCUUAUAAUAAGACUGUAAUGCAAAAUUCUGAAAUUUGUAUCAUAUACAUAUGAUAAAAUGUUUCAUUCUGUCCUAUAUUGCAAUACGUUAUAUACAUACGUUGUUGUAUACAUACCUUAGGAGUUUUAUAUGGGGGCCCCAGAUAGUGUAAUAAUGCAUAUACUGCGAAACAUGAUAUUGGAUAAACGAUAUUAUAUAUACACUAUAUUUUUGAUAACGAAACAUGCUUAUUUAUAAAAUCAAGUCAAAUUGAUAAAAAUCUAAUAUUUUGGACAUGACUUUAGGAAUUUUAUUUUUUAAAUUUAUUUUAUUAUUUUCUAUAAAUGGGGGCCCCAAAUAGUUCGAGGAUCGGAAUAGUUGAUAACAUAUAAGAUAGUUAUUUUGUGUAUAGUAGGUAGGCUAAUAACGUUUCUGUAAUAUAUAAUACAUUCAUGUAUUAUAUAUAAUGGUAUAAAACAUUGUAAAAUAGCUUAUAAUUAAUAUAUUCUUGUGAAAAUAUGUUCUUAUAAUAAGACUGUAAUGCAAAAUUCUGAAAUUUGUAUCAUAUACAUAUGAUAAAAUGUUUCAUUCUGUCCUAUAUUGCAAUACGUUAUAUACAUACGUUGUUGUAUACAUACCUUAGGAGUUUUAUAUGGGGGCCCCAGAUAGUGUAAUAAUGCAUAUACUGCGAAACAUGAUAUUGGAUAAACGAUAUUAUGUAUACACUAUAUUUUUGAUAACGAAACAUGCUUAUUUAUAAAAUCAAGUCAAAUUGAUAAAAAUCUAAUAUUUUGGACAUGACUUUAGGAAUUUUAUUUUUUUAAUUUAUUUUAUUAUUUUCUAUAAAUGGGGGCCCCAAAUAGUUCGAGGAUCGGAAUAGUUGAUAACAUAUAAGAUAGUUAUUUUGUGUAUAGUAGGUAGGCUAAUAACGUUUCUGUAAUAUAUAAUACAUUCAUGUAUUAUAUAAUGUAUAAAACAUUAUAAAAUAGAUUAUAAUUAAUAUAUUCUUG